GGCGGACGGGUGAGUAACGCGUGGGUAACCUGCCUCACACAGGGGGAUAACAGUUGGAAACGACCGCUAAUACCGCAUAACCCGCUAGGGCCGCAUGGCCCGGACGGAAAAGAUUUAUCGGUGUGAGAUGGACCCGCGUUGGAUUAGCUAGUUGGCAGGGUAACGGCCUACCAAGGCGACGAUCCAUAGCCGGCCUGAGAGGGUGAACGGCCACAUUGGGACUGAGACACGGCCCAA
rnacentral:rRNA from 1 species